CAUAAGCUUUAUAAAAUAUAUAUAUAGCUUUUUGUGAGAUGUGCAGUGAUUCUUUCCUUUCAAAAUUACUUUAGGUUGGGUCUAAAGUGCAACAAUGCAUCAUUACCGAUCAAAAUUACAACUGUGACUUGUGCAAUAUAUCUAGACUUGACUACUCCACCAUUUGAAUUCAAAUUUUGUCUUGUUCAUUGGUGUAGACAAAUUUGU